rnacentral:rRNA from 1 species
GGAUUCCCCUAGUAACUGCGAGUGAAGCGGGAAAAGCUCAAAUUUAAAAUCUGGCGGUUUUGCCGUCCGAGUUGUAAUUUAGAGAAGUGUUACCCGCGCUGGACCGUGUACAAGUCUCCUGGAAUGGAGCGUCAUAGAGGGUGAGAAUCCCGUCUUUGACACGGACUACCAGGGCAUUGUGGUGCGCUCUCGAAGAGUCGAGUUGUUUGGGAAUGCAGCUCAAAAUGGGUGGUAAAUUCCAUCUAAAGCUAAAUAUUGGGGAGAGACCGAUAGCGAACAAGUACCGUGAGGGAAAGAUGAAAAGAACUUUGGAAAGAGAGUUAAACAGUACGUGAAAUUGCUGAAAGGGAAACGCUUGAAGUCAGUCGCGUUGUUCAGGAUUCAGCCUUGCUUUUGCUUGGUGUACUUCCUGUUCGACGGGUCAGCAUCAGUUUUGGCCGGUGGAAAAAGGCUCAGAGAAUGUGGCACCUUCGGGUGUGUUAUAGCUCUGGGUCACAUACAUCGGCUGGGACUGAGGAACUCAGCACGCCGCAAGGCCGGGUCUCGUACCACGUUCGUGCUUAGGAUGCUGGCAUAAUGGCUUUAAUCGA